GCAGCAGCCGCGGUAAUACGGAGGGUGCAAGCGUUAAUCGGAAUUACUGGGCGUAAAGCGCACGCAGGCGGUCUGACAAGUCAGAUGUGAAAUCCCCGGGCUUAACCUGGGAACUGCAUUUGAAACUGUCAGGCUGGAGUCUUGUAGAGGGGGGUAGAAUUCCAGGUGUAGCGGUGAAAUGCGUAGAGAUCUGGAGGAAUACCGGUGGCGAAGGCGGCCCCCUGGACAAAGACUGACGCUCAGGUGCGAAAGCGUGGGGAGCAAACAGGAUUAGAUACCCGCGUAGUCCCUGUCUCUUAUAC
rnacentral:rRNA from 1 species